rnacentral:RNase_P_RNA from 1 species
CAGGUGAACUCCGUUCGGAGCAAGACCAAAUAGGGUAGCGUUAUGAGGCCGGCCCGGCCCAGGCUACCGGGUAGGUUGCUUGAGGCGGCUGGUAACAGCCGUCCUAGAUGAAUGACAGCCGCCCCUUCGGGGGCACAGAACCCGGCUUACAGGCCGACUCCAAAC